GAUGAACGCUGGCGGCGUGUCUAAGGCAUGCAAGUCGAGUGGGUUCAGACCCACGGCAAACGGGAGCGUAACACAUUGGUAACCUGCCCUCAACCGGAGGAUAACCCAUCGAAAGGUGGGAUAAUACUCCAUUAAUUGGAGAGACGCAUGUCUUUUCAAUAAAGAUUUAUCGGUUGAGGAGGGGCCUAUGGUCUAUCAGCUAGUUGGCAGUGUAAAGGACUACCAAGGCUAUGACGGAUAGCGGGUGUGAGAGCACGACCCGCCUCACUGGGACUGAGAAACUGCCCAGACACCUACGGGAGGCUG
rnacentral:rRNA from 1 species